GGCUACAUUACAGUGAGGGAAGUCUGGGAGUCCCUGCUUAGACUGAUGUCCCCACGACUCGACCCUGGAUAAAGUGGAAGAAGAUGGAUGUACAUUUUAAGAGACUUUCAGUGAGAUCUUGCAUCUGUUGCUGCGCUGAAGGACGAUCCUGGACCAGUCUAGAGCAACAAGGAGUCAGAAGAAUGCUACUGAUAAAACUUUCUUGCCCUGGUGUCUUCAUUCAAGAGGGGAAUGGAAAGCAGCAUACUGUCCUGAGGAAGACGGACUGAAGAUGGCGCUGUCGUCCUGCUUCCACCGAGAGGAAGACCGCGCCAAAACCUGUUUAAAUCAGCUGACCGGACACGUCACAGCAACAUCAUGUGACUCUGAGGAAGACGCUAGUGAGCAGUCGAAACUGUCAGUGUCGUCUGCCCCGCUCCUCCCUCUCCCUCUGAUCCAGCCACAGCUCCUCAACUUUUCCCCACUUUCACUUCUAUGGUGCUUCUCAUCUUUAUAAUCCAAGUUACG